rnacentral:rRNA from 1 species
GCCCAGAGCCUGAAUCAGUGUGUGUGUUAGUGGAAGCGUCUGGAAAGGCGCGCGAUACAGGGUGACAGCCCCGUACACAAAAAUGCACAUGCUGUGAGCUCGAUGAGUAGGGCGGGACACGUGGUAUCCUGUCUGAAUAUGGGGGGACCAUCCUCCAAGGCUAAAUACUCCUGACUGACCGAUAGUGAACCAGUACCGUGAGGGAAAGGCGAAAAGAACCCCGGCGAGGGGAGUGAAAAAGAACCUGAAACCGUGUACGUACAAGCAGUGGGAGCACGCUUAGGCGUGUGACUGCGUACCUUUUGUAUAAUGGGUCAGCGACUUAUAUUCUGUAGCAAGGUUAACCGAAUAGGGGAGCCGAAGGGAAACCGAGUCUUAACUGGGCGUUAAGUUGCAGGGUAUAGACCCGAAACCCGGUGAUCUAGCCAUGGGCAGGUUGAAGGUUGGGUAACACUAACUGGAGGACCGAACCGACUAAUGUUGAAAAAUUAGCGGAUGACUUGUGGCUGGGGGUGAAAGGCCAAUCAAACCGGGAGAUAGCUGGUUCUCCCCGAAAGCUAUUUAGGUAGCGCCUCGUGAAUUCAUCUCCGGGGGUAGAGCACUGUUUCGGCAAGGGGGUCAUCCCGACUUACCAACCCGAUGCAAACUGCGAAUACCGGAGAAUGUUAUCACGGGAGACACACGGCGGGUGCUAACGUCCGUCGUGAAGAGGGAAACAACCCAGACCGCCAGCUAAGGUCCCAAAGUCAUGGUUAAGUGGGAAACGAUGUGGGAAGGCCCAGACAGCCAGGAUGUUGGCUUAGAAGCAGCCAUCAUUUAAAGAAAGCGUAAUAGCUCACUGGUCGAGUCGGCCUGCGCGGAAGAUGUAACGGGGCUAAACCAUGCACCGAAGCUGCGGCAGCGACGCUUAUGCGUUGUUGGGUAGGGGAGCGUUCUGUAAGCCUGUGAAGGUGUGCUGUGAGGCAUGCUGGAGGUAUCAGAAGUGCGAAUGCUGACAUAAGUAACGAUAAAGCGGGUGAAAAGCCCGCUCGCCGGAAGACCAAGGGUUCCUGUCCAACGUUAAUCGGGGCAGGGUGAGUCGACCCCUAAGGCGAGGCCGAAAGGCGUAGUCGAUGGGAAACAGGUUAAUAUUCCUGUACUUGGUGUUACUGCGAAGGGGGGACGGAGAAGGCUAUGUUGGCCGGGCGACGGUUGUCCCGGUUUAAGCGUGUAGGCUGGUUUUCCAGGCAAAUCCGGAAAAUCAAGGCUGAGGCGUGAUGACGAGGCACUACGGUGCUGAAGCAACAAAUGCCCUGCUUCCAGGAAAAGCCUCUAAGCAUCAGGUAACAUCAAAUCGUACCCCAAACCGACACAGGUGGUCAGGUAGAGAAUACCAAGGCGCUUGAGAGAACUCGGGUGAAGGAACUAGGCAAAAUGGUGCCGUAACU